UCGCUUGGUUCCCAAACCCCAUCCCCUGCCUGUGCCCCUUCAUCGCCGCCACCCCUCCUGUGCCCCUUCACCGCCGCCGCCUCUCCCAGGGAUUGAGCCGAACGGGGACGGCCGCGAUGGUAGGCCGGGAGACGCGAUGCAGCAGACCGCGCGGAGGCGGGCGGCGGCGCCUUGAGAAGCCCUCCACAGCCGGCGGGGCUCGAGAUCCCGGCGAUGCAGGAGCGCGCACGGAGGCAGGAGGAGCCGCACCGCCUUAAGAAUCUCGUCCACAUCCGGCAGGGCUGGAGAUCUCCGAUCAAGGGUCGCUGGACGAGGAGGGGAGGAGCACCGCCUCCUCGCGCUGCUCGUCGGCUCGUCCGCACUGGAUGACCUCGUGCACUCGCUUGAGGUGUCUAUGACGCCAAGAUAGCCGUGCGGAAUCGAGCGAUGCGGGAUGACGCCGCGACGGAGUGGUGGUCAGGUCGACGGAGUGGUGCUCAGGUUUUACAGUCAUCCUGACCACCACUCUGCCUCGGAUGUGUGUUUGGCUGUUGCCGCUGAUUACUAAGCUGUGUGUGCGUGUGUUUUUGGCUGCUGAUUACUAACCGUGUGUCUGUGCUUUGGGUGUAGUUCGCUCUUGCUGAAAUUGCUGUAGCUGGCUGCUAAGAUGAGUUGGUCCUGGAUCUGGAUCCACCGCUUCCUUCCUCUGAAUUUUUGUUCAAAUGGAGGAGCAGCUCAAGACAUUGAUAGUCCUUUCUCACUACCUAGAGA